rnacentral:rRNA from 1 species
GAACGCUAGCUACAGGCUUAACACAUGCAAGUCGAGGGGCAUCAGGAAGAAAGCUUGCUUUCUUUGUUGGCGACCGGCGCACGGGUGAGUAACACGUAUCCAACCUGCCCUUUACUCGGGGAUAGCCUUUCGAAAGAAAGAUUAAUACCCGAUAGCAUAAUGAUUCCGCAUGGUUUCAUUAUUAAAGGAUUCCGGUAAAGGAUGGGGAUGCGUUCCAUUAGGUUGUUGGUGAGGUAACGGCUCACCAAGCCUUCGAUGGAUAGGGGUUCUGAGAGGAAGGUCCCCCACAUUGGAACUGAGACACGGUCCAAACUCCUACGGGAGGCAGCAGUGAGGAAUAUUGGUCAAUGGGCGCUAGCCUGAACCAGCCAAGUAGCGUGAAGGAUGAAGGCUCUAUGGGUCGUAAACUUCUUUUAUAUAAGAAUAAAGUGCAGUAUGUAUACUGUUUUGUAUGUAUUAUAUGAAUAAGGAUCGGCUAACUCCGUGCCAGCAGCCGCGGUAAUACGGAGGAUCCGAGCGUUAUCCGGAUUUAUUGGGUUUAAAGGGAGCGUAGGUGGACUGGUAAGUCAGUUGUGAAAGUUUGCGGCUCAACCGUAAAAUUGCAGUUGAUACUGUCAGUCUUGAGUACAGUAGAGGUGGGCGGAAUUCGUGGUGUAGCGGUGAAAUGCUUAGAUAUCACGAAGAACUCCGAUUGCGAAGGCAGCUCACUGGACUGCAACUGACACUGAUGCUCGAAAGUGUGGGUAUCAAACAGGAUUAGAUACCCUGGUAGUCCACACAGUAAACGAUGAAUACUCGCUGUUUGCGAUAUACAGUAAGCGGCUAAGCGAAAGCAUUAAGUAUUCCACCUGGGGAGUACGCCGGCAACGGUGAAACUCAAAGGAAUUGACGGGGGCCCGCACAAGCGGAGGAACAUGUGGUUUAAUUCGAUGAUACGCGAGGAACCUUACCCGGGCUUAAAUUGCAGUGGAAUGAUGUGGAAACAUGUCAGUGAGCAAUCACCGCUGUGAAGGUGCUGCAUGGUUGUCGUCAGCUCGUGCCGUGAGGUGUCGGCUUAAGUGCCAUAACGAGCGCAACCCUUAUCUUUAGUUACUAACAGGUUAUGCUGAGGACUCUGGAGAGACUGCCGUCGUAAGAUGUGAGGAAGGUGGGGAUGACGUCAAAUCAGCACGGCCCUUACGUCCGGGGCUACACACGUGUUACAAUGGGGGGUACAGAAGGCAGCUAGCGGGUGACCGUAUGCUAAUCCCAAAAGCCUCUCUCAGUUCGGAUCGAAGUCUGCAACCCGACUUCGUGAAGCUGGAUUCGCUAGUAAUCGCGCAUCAGCCACGGCGCGGUGAAUACGUUCCCGGGCCUUGUACACACCGCCCGUCAAGCCAUGGGAGCCGGGGGUACCUGAAGUACGUAACCGCAAGGAUCGUCCUAGGGUAAAACUGGUGACUGGGGCU